rfam:Zootermopsis nevadensis contig11719, whole genome shotgun sequence.
GCCACGGUGGUCAAGCGGUUAGGACGCUGGCCUUGUAAUCCUGGGGUCUCGGGUUCGAUUCCCGGCGGUGCCC